rnacentral:lncRNA from 1 species
CGAAGCCUCCAUCGUUCAUCACAAUUUUCUGGUCUUUGAUGGGUUGAACUAAUCCUUUCACCAUCAAUGGUUUGAAAUGCGUGGUCAUCUCAGCAGCACACACCUCAACUUCCUCUCUGUCAUGGCCAUCCUCCUGCUCUGGCCCGAUUUCUCCUACCUCCACACGAUGAAUUGCAGCUUUGUUUUUGUAGAAGGGAGGAGUUUUGGAAGUAUGCUUCACUUGCUGCUCUUCUAGCAACAGCCUCUCAUACUUUGUGGCAGCAAUUACCAACUCCUGUAGCUCGUUAAAUUGUGUAUCAUAAAAUAUUUUCCUCAAAGGUAAUCUCAGAGCCCUUUGAGCAAUUGAUAUGAGCUGAGCUUGGGUAACAGGGAAUUGGCAU